rnacentral:rRNA from 1 species
UUAGAGUUUGAUCCUGGCUCAGGACGAACGCUGGCGGCAUGCCUAAUACAUGCAAGUCGAACGCUGAAGCACUCUGCUUGCAGAGUGCGGAUGAGUGGCGAACGGGUGAGUAACACGUGGGAAAUCUGCCUAGGAGUGGGGGAUAACAUUCGGAAACGGAUGCUAAUACCGCAUAUCUUUUUGAACCGCAUGGUUCUUAAACGAAAGACGGCUUCGGCUGUCGCUCUUAGAUGAUCCCGCGGCGUAUUAGUUAGUUGGUGGGGUAAAGGCCUACCAAGACCAUGAUACGUAGCCGACCUGAGAGGGUGAUCGGCCACACUGGGACUGAGACACGGCCCACACUCCUACGGGAGGCAGCAGUGGGGAAUAUUGCACAAUGGGCGAAAGCCUGAUGCAGCAACGCCGCGUGAGCGAUGAAGGCCUUCGGGUCGUAAAGCUCUGUCCUCAAGGAAGAUAAUGACGGUACUUGAGGAGGAAGCCCCGGCUAACUACGUGCCAGCAGCCGCGGUAAUACGUAGGGGGCUAGCGUUAUCCGGAUUUACUGGGCGUAAAGGGUGCGUAGGCGGUCUUUUAAGUCAGAAGUGAAAGGCUACGGCUUAACCGUAGUAAGCUUUUGAAACUGGAGGACUUGAGUGCAGGAGAGGAGAGUGGAAUUCCUAGUGUAGCGGUGAAAUGCGUAAAUAUAUGGAAGAAACCCCGGUGGCGAAAGCGGCCUCUUUGGUCUGUAAUUGAACUCUGAAGCUUCGAAGGCGUGGGGGAACAAAACAGGAAUUAGAAUCCCCUGGU